UCGUUCGUUCAAACCGUACCAUGAGGUGUUUUGUGACGCUUAGCAAUAUUGUUUUUACGUCAAAUUUAGCAAUCUUAAAUAAGUUGCUCCGGUGCUACUUCAACAACAUUGAUUUGCGGAAUUUAUUGAAAAAUAAGUAUUACUUACACAAUUACACAUUGCAUAAAUUUUAGAUGGCAAGUGAAUACGAAAUCUUUGAAUUUUUGGAGGCCCGGACCCUCGAAUAAUCAUAAUAACAGGAAGCAGCGCAUGCAAAUGUGUGAAGAGUGUCCGCCUUUCCGUUUAGACGACACGAAAUUAGUUAGGCGAUAUAGGAUUACAGAUGAACUUGUACCCAAUUUAUGUGACGAAAUAUAAGGCCAUCAAUGAGAAAUCCACAGACUUAUCUAUCGAGACGAAGGUGUUCAGUGCAUUGCAACCACAUAUAGGCAAUAAUGAAGGACGUUUUGUGUCAGCAAACUGUAUCAUCUGCCAUCCCACAAGUUACUACUUGCCUUAACUCGCUGGAAAUGCGGAAUAAGUACCUAAGUAUAUAGUACAAUUUCCAGAGAGCACCCAGGAACGCAACAUGAUCAAAACCCUUUGUUUUGUAUCUAUCACUAUCAUUAUCCUUUCGCAGGGCUGCAGGAAGAAAUCACAUAAGGGA